rnacentral:rRNA from 1 species
GAUCAUGGCUCAGGAUGUAACGCUAGCGGCAGGCUUAACACAUGCAAGUCGAGGGGCAGCGGGGUGUAGCAAUACACUGCCGGCGACCGGCGCACGGGUGCGUAACGCGUAUGCAACCUACCCAUAACAGGGGCAUAACACUGAGAAAUUGGAACUAAUUCCCCAUAACAUUCGAAGAGGCAUCUCUUUGGGUUGAAAACUCCGGUGGUUAUGGAUGGGCAUGCGUUGUAUUAGCUAGUUGG